AACGAACGCUGGCGGCAGGCUUAACACAUGCAAGUCGAGCGAGACCUUCGGGUCUAGCGGCGGACGGGUGAGUAACGCGUGGGAACGUGCCCUUCUCUACGGAAUAGCCCCGGGAAACUGGGAGUAAUACCGUAUACGCCCUUUGGGGGAAAGAUUUAUCGGAGAAGGAUCGGCCCGCGUUGGAUUAGGUAGUUGGUGGGGUAAUGGCCCACCAAGCCGACGAUCCAUAGCUGGUUUGAGAGGAUGAUCAGCCACACUGGGACUGAGACACGGCCCAGACUCCUACGGGAGGCAGCAGUGGGAAAUCUUAGACAAUGGGGGCAACCCUGAGCUAGCCAUGCCGUGUGAGUGAUGAAGGCCUUAGGGUUGUAAAGCUCUUUGAGCUGGGAAGAUAAUGACGGUACCAGCAGAAGAAGCCCCGGCUAACUACGUG
rnacentral:rRNA from 1 species